rfam:Schistosoma haematobium scaffold260_26, whole genome shotgun sequence.
AGUUUUCUGAGUCCUUGCCGAGAUUUCGUCAGACACUAGACCAUCAAGAAUGAUGAGACUCCCAAGAUAAUUGAAAUU